UUUUCCCCGUGGAACUAACAUAUCAAUAAGCGGAGGAAAAGAAACUAACAAGGAUUCCCCUAGUAACUGCGAGUGAAGCGGGAAAAGCUCAAAUUUAAAAUCUGGCAGUCUCUGGCUGUCCGAGUUGUAAUCUAGAGAAGUAAUGCCCGUGCUGGACCGUGUAUAAGUCUCCUGGGAUGGGGCGUCAUAGAGGGUGAGAAUCCCGUCUUUGACACGGACUACCAGUGCAUUGUGGUAUGCUCUCAAAGAGUCGAGUUGUUUGGGAAUGCAGCUCAAAAUGGGUGGUAAAUUCCAUCUAAAGCUAAAUAUUGGCGAGAGACCGAUAGCGAACAAGUACCGUGAGGGAAAGAUGAAAAGAACUUUGGAAAGAGAGUUAAACAGUACGUGAAAUUGCUGAAAGGGAAACGCUUGAAGUCAGUCGCGUUGGCCGGGAAUCAGCCUUGCUUUUGCAUGGUGUACUUUCUGGUUGACGGGUCAGCAUCAAUUUUGACCGCUGGAAAAAGACCUGGGGAAUGUGGCAGCUUCGGCUGUGUUAUAGCCCCUAGUCGCAUACAGUGGUUGGGAUUGAGGAACUCAGCACGCCGCAAGGCCGGGUUUCGACCACGUUCGUGCUUAGGAUGCUGGCAUAAUGGCUUUAAGCGACCCGUCUUGAAACACGGACCAAGGAGUCUAACAUGCCUGCGAGUAUUUGGGUGGAAAACCCAAGUGCGUAAUGAAAGUGAAAGUUGAGAUCCCUGUCGUGGGGAGCAUCGACGCCCGGACCAGAACUUUUGGGACGGAUCCGCGGUGGAGCAUGUAUGUUGGGACCCGAAAGAUGGUGAACUAUGCCUGAAUAGGGUGAAGCCAGAGGAAACUCUGGUGGAGGCUCGUAGCGAUUCUGACGUGCAAAUCGAUCGUCAAAUUUGGGUAUAGGGGCGAAAGACUAAUCGAACCAUCUAGUAGCUGGUUCCUGCCGAAUUC
rnacentral:rRNA from 1 species